ACAUAUAUGUACAUGUGACAUAAAUUAAUAUGUAGAGGAAAAGCAAAGUUGAUCCAUAGAUCUCACCAAUAGAAAGCAUGCCUACAGAAUGCACCAAUAAAAAGGUAGAGACACUUGCAUCAACUCUAGCAACCUCUGCAUUUGCAAUUGCACUAGUAGUGACAGAGAGACCAGGGCAUCCAGGACCCUGCAUGUUACAAAUGACCAAACAUCAUACUCAUUUUUUAUUUGCAUUUCAAUAAAGAAGGAAA